rnacentral:rRNA from 1 species
UCAUUCACAAUGGGGGAAACCCUGAUGGUGCGACGCCGCGGGGGGGAAUGAAGGUCUUCGGAUUGUAAACCCCUGUCAUGUGGGAGCAAAUUAAAAAGAUAGUACCACAAGAGGAAGAGACGGCUAACUCUGGGCCAGCAGCCGAGGUAAUACAGAGGUCGCAAGCGUUGUUCGGAAUCACUGGGCGUAAAGCGUGCGUAGGCUGUUUCGUAAGUCGUGUGUGAAAGGCGCGGGCUCAACCCGCGGACGGCACAUGAUACUGCGAGACUAGAGUAAUGGAGGGGGAACCGGAAUUCUCGGUGUAGCAGUGAAAUGCGUAGAUAUCGAGAGGAACACUCGUGGCGAAGGCGGGUUCCUGGACAUUAACUGACGCUGAGGCACGAAGGCCAGGGGAGCGAAAGGG